GCCUUCUUUUAGAAAGAAACAAGCAGAUCUUUUGUUCCCCCCAGAUUUUGCCGAAGACUUUCCAGUUGUAAUGCAGAUAUCCCACAAAUACAGUUUGAUCUACGUGAUCACCAAGCUAGGGCUAUUAUUUGUUUAUGACUUGGAGACCGCUACUGCAGUUUAUAGAAACAGAAUCUGUCCAGAUAUAUUUUUGACAGCAGCUUCACCAGUGGGAGGUUUUUUAUGCAAUCAAUAUGCAUGGACAGGUGUUAUUGGCUACAGUAAAUGAUCUAACAAUUGUACCAUUUGUCGUGGCCAGUUGAACAAUUUGGAGCUUGCUGUCAAUCUUGCCAAAAAAGGGAAUCUUCCUGGAGCCGGGCAGCUUGUUGUCCAACGUUUCCAAGAACUAUUUUCCCAAACAAAGUACAAAGAAGCUGCAGAACUUGCCGCUGAGUCCCCCCAAGGAAUCCUCCGAACACUGGACAUAGUUGCAAAAUUCCAGGUUUUACAUGUUGAUUCUCCAAUCAAACACAUCUUACCUUUCAAAAUAUUCUGUCAAUCAUACACAUUUCGUUGGCUGCUAAUAUUUCAUAGCUUCAAUGUUCUUCAUCCACGUCAAGUUGUCUCCAUUUGAUUUCUGGCCAUUCAGGAUCUCGGUAAGCACUGGUUGUAAUGGCCUUAUCUCUC